GACGAACGCUGGCGGCGUGCUUAACACAUGCAAGUCGAACGGAAAGGCCCUGCUUUUGUGGGGUGCUCGAGUGGCGAACGGGUGAGUAACACGUGAGUAACCUGCCCUUGACUUUGGGAUAACUUCAGGAAACUGGGGCUAUUACCGGAUAGGAGCUCCUGCUGCAUGGUGGGGGUUGGAAAGUUUCGGCGGUUGGGGAUGUACUCGCGGCUUAUCAGCUUGUUGGUGGGGUAGUGGCUUACCAAGGCUUUGACGGGUAGCCGGCCUGAGAGGGUUACCGGCCACAUGGGGACUGAGAGACGGCCCAGAAUCCUACGGGAGGCAGCAGUGGGGAAUAUUGCACAAUGGGCGGAAGCCUGAUGCAGCAACGCCGCGUGCGGGAUGACGGCCUUCGGGGUGUAAACCGCUUUCGCAUGUGACGAAGCGUGAGUGACGGUAAUGGGUAAAGAAGCACCGGCUAACUACGUG
rnacentral:rRNA from 1 species